rnacentral:rRNA from 1 species
CCUACGGGAGGCAGCAGUGGGGAAUAUUGGACAAUGGGCGAAAGCCUGAUCCAGCAAUGCCGCGUGUGUGAAGAAGGCCCUAGGGUUGUAAAGCACUUUCAAUGGGGAAGAAAAGCAGAGUACCAAUACUGCUCUGUCAUGACGUUACCCAUAGAAGAAGCACCGGCUAACUCCGUGCCAGCAGCCGCGGUAAUACGGAGGGUGCGAGCGUUAAUCGGAAUUACUGGGCGUAAAGGGCGCGUAGGCGGUCCGAUAAGUUGGAUGUGAAAGCCCCGGGCUCAACCUGGGAAUUGCAUCCAAUACUGUCGGACUGGAGUGUAAUAGAGGGAAGUGGAAUUCCCGGUGUAGCGGUGUAAUGCGUAGAUAUCGGGAGGAACACCAGUGGCGAAGGCGGCUUCCUGGAUUAACACUGACGCUGAGGCGCGAAAGCGUGGGGAGCAAACAGGAUUAGAUACCCUGGUGGUCCACGCCCUAAACUAUGAGAACUAGCCGUUGGGGGUAUUUGAAACCUUUAGUGGCGCAGCUAACGCGAUAAGUUCUCCGCCUGGGGAGUACGGCCGCAAGGUUAAAACUCAAAUGAAUUGACGG